rnacentral:tRNA from 1 species
UGAUAACUUGAAUAGGUCUUAUGUUUCGGCCAUGAGAUUGUAAUAUUGAUUACUAUCAG